AUUCCUACGGGAGGCAGCAGUGGGGAAUUUUCCGCAAUGGGCGAAAGCCUGACGGAGCAACGCCGCGUGAGGGACGAAGGCCUCUGGGCUGUAAACCUCUUUUCUCAAGGAAGAAGAUAUGACGGUACUUGAGGAAUAAGCCACGGCUAAUUCCGUGCCAGCAGCCGCGGUAAUACGGGAGUGGCAAGCGUUAUCCGGAAUUAUUGGGCGUAAAGCGUCCGCAGGCGGCUUUUCAAGUCUGCUGUUAAAGCGUGGAGCUUAACUCCAUCAUGGCAGUGGAAACUGAAAGGCUUGAGUAUGGUAGGGGCAGAGGGAAUUCCCGGUGUAGCGGUGAAAUGCGUAGAUAUCGGGAAGAACACCAGUGGCGAAGGCGCUCUGCUGGGCCAUUACUGACGCUCAUGGACGAAAGCCAGGGGAGCGAAAGGGAUUAGAUACCCCUGUAGUCCUGGCCGUAAACGAUGAACACUAGGUGUCGGGGGAAUCGACCCCUUCGGUGUCGUAGCUAACGCGUUAAGUGUUCCGCCUGGGGAGUACGCACGCAAGUGUGAAACUCAAAGGAAUUGACGGAAU
rnacentral:rRNA from 1 species